CAUUUGGAAUUUGUGUUUGUUCUGCUUGGUUUUGUUCUGCUUGUUUGCUCUCUCUCUCUCUCUCUCUGCCUCUUUUGCAGUGGGUGUCUUCUGAGUCGGCGCAGUUGGACAAAUGUGACAGACUGGUGUCAGGCAGUUCAAGUGGGUGUCUUCUGAGUUGGCACAGUUGGAGCAAAUGUGACAGGCUGGCUUCAGGCAGUACUAGUGACUUUGGUUUCCAGUUGGUUAGAGAACAAAUCUUUAGUGACUGCCUUGAUCAACAUGUCUUCAUACACUUUGUAAAUACCAUAGAGUUGCUUUAGUUUUUCAGUAAUUGUAUACUCAUAAUUAGCAG